rnacentral:rRNA from 1 species
GACGAACGCUGGCGGCAUGCCUAAUACAUGCAAGUCGAGCGAACAGAUGGAGUGCUUGCACUUCUGACGUUAGGGGCGAACGGGUGAGUAACACGUAAGGAAUCUACCUAUAAGCGGGGGAUAACAUUCGGAAACGGGUGCUAAUACCGCAUAAUAUCUUCUUCCGCAUGGAAGAAGAGUGAAAGACGGCUCUGCUGUCACUUAUAGAUGACCUUGCGGUGCAUUAGUUAGUUGGUGGGGUAACGGCCUACCAAGACGAUGAUGCAUAGCCGACCUGGGAGGGUGAUCCGCCACAUCGAGACGGAAGCUCGGCCCAAACUCCGACCGGCGGCAGUAGUAGGGAAUCUGCCGCAAUGGGCGAAUGCCUGACGGAGCAAUGCCGCGUGAGUCAAGAAGGCCUUCGGGUCGUACACCUCUGUUAUAAGAGAAGAACAAAUUGUAGAGUACCUGUUACAGUCUUGACGGUAUCUUAUCAGAAAGCCACGGCUAACUACGUGCCAGAAGCCGCCGUAA